GGCUUCUGUGGUUUGAGGAACCAAGACUCCCAGAAGCAGUGGACCAGAACGAAUGAACAUAUAGUUCAUUUAUUUGAACGCUUAUUGAUUCCAUCACUGGGGAGGCUGAGGAAAGAAGGACCACAAAUUCGAGGACAUCCUGGGAUUACACAGGAACACUCAGUCUCAAAAAAUCAUUUCUUGAUCAUAUAUUAGGACUGUGUUUUACAAUGGAGACUCAAAAGCAAAGGUGCAGUUAACUGAACAGAGUAAAUCCUCUAAGCCAAAUCUAUAGAAGGACCCUUUGGACAUUCGCUUUGCCAGAGAAAGCUACCUUUGCCAUCUUCCCAUUGGAGAAUAUGUGACCAUUGUUUCCAAGAUGGACAAGGCACCCCUUUCCCAAAAAACACUGGCUUCUAAACAGACCAGGGGUAGGGAGCGGGGAUCACCGGUAUCUUCAGAGUAGACCCAAACUCAUAUUUAAAAGGAAGGCCUCAUAGUCACAGUGAUGGCUUUUUUCCCAUUUAAUGUCUGCAUCUCCCAUCCUGGAACCCCUGGAAAUGUGCUGUGUUGAGUUCCUGUGAGCAUCGGUGUGGUGGAGAACAAAAUCAAAUUUCCAGAAGUCAGUUAAACCAUGAAGUUAGCAGAGAGAAAAAGUCCAUGGCAACAGCAGAGAGAAGCCCGUAACAGUGCCUGGAAGAUCUGGGGAAACAGAGGUUCACCUCAGAAGGGAACCCUGAAGAACAGACCUUGCAGAUUGCCUUAUGCAGGCACAGAGUGGUUUGUGCGAGAAUGUCUUCUUGCUUUAAAGAUUUUUAAAUCUUUAGUUUAUGUUAUGGGGUGUUUUGUCUGCAUGUACAUCUGUGCACUAUGUCAUACAGUGCCCAAGGAGUCCAGAAGUGGAUGUCACAUCUCCCUGGAACUGGGGUUACGGAAGGUUGUAAGUUAUGGGCGCUGGGAAUCAAACCUGGUGCUCUUAUCCACUGAGCCAUCUCCAUUCAGUCCCUAGGAAACAUUAUCAGUCACAAUUGUUUUACAUGAUCCAGAACUGAAAUACAAUUAUUUAAUCAUUCAGUGACCAUCAAUAAAAGCAGAAAUCAUAAUAAUUUUUAAAUUAAUUUAGUAAAGAAGGCUGUGUCCAGAACUGAUUUGACUUGAAUGCAACAAGUUUAGAGUCCUCCAGUAGUUUGACUUGACCUAAAGAUAAAAGCCUAAAAUUAAGGAGAAAGCACACGGACAGUGUGUUCUUUUAUAUUUCCUCAAUUUGGUUCUCUCAAAGAAGAUUUUUAACAGAAUCUGUGAGGGCUUAGAUUAUUCUUGUGAGCAAGGUAUGACAGGAGUUAGCAAAUGGCAUCCCACUUCCUAUUUAUAUGCUGCUCACAAGGUAAUUUGUUGUUGUUUUAAAUGAUUGAAAAAAUCAAAUGAAGGGCUGGGGAUAUAUUUCUGUGGUAGAGAGUUUGCCUAGCAUGUGCAAGGCACCUAAGUUCAUUUUUAAGCACCACAAUAAGUGUAGAGGUAAAUGGAAGGAGGCAUAUUUUUCAGUAUGUGAAAAUUAUGUGAAUUGAAAUUUCAAUGUUUACAA